rnacentral:rRNA from 1 species
AUGCAACCAAUGGCGCCGUCGCCGUGGCUGCCGGAAUUUGACCCGACAGACACGGUCGCCGGCCGUGCCUUUGUUGAGCGCCUCACCACCGACGCCGCGGCGCUCCAGCGAGAGCUCCUAACAGAGAUCCUCAAGCGGAACGCCCACACCGAGUACCUCCGCCCCUUCCUCCUCCUCCCGGAUGGCGGCUUGCCACCGGACGGCGACCUCCGGGAGGCCUUCAAGAAGCUUGUGCCUGUCUCCGGCUACGACGACAUCAAGCCAUAUGUGCAUCGAAUCGCCUCAGGCCGAGAGCCGUCCACCAACCUCCUCUGCUCCGAGCCCAUCACCCACCUCCUCAGAAGCUCUUGCACGUCUGGUGGGAAGCAGAAGAUCUUCCCGUCCACCGCGGAGGAACUCGACCGGAAGCUCUUCUUCUAUGGCGUCCAGUCACUCGUGAGGAACAUGUACGUGCAUCUGCAUGCUGACCAGGAGGGCAAGCGCGGCAUGGGGAUGCGCCUCACCUUAACCUUCCCCGUCGAACACACGCCGUCCGGCCUUCACGUCCAGGCGGCCACCACCGCCUACUACCGCAGCAGCCAGUUCCGGGACCAGGAGGUGGGCGGGUUCGACCGGUGCACCAGCCCCAUGGAGGCCAUCCUCUGGCCGGACGCCGAGCAGAGCAUGUACUGCCAGCUGCUCUGCGGCCUGCUCCACCGCGACUCCGUGGACCACGUCGGCACCUCCUUCGCCAACAGCCUCGUGCGAGCCAUCAAGUUCCUGGAGCACAACUGGGAGGAGAUGUGCUCCGACAUCCGCACCGGCAGCCUCAGUGGCCGGAUAACGCACGCACCCCUGCGUGACGCCGUCAUCCAGCGAUACCUACGAGGGCCCAAUCCGGCACUGGCAGACGAGGUCGCGUCGGAGUGUGCUGCCAAGCCCUGGGACGGGAUUGUCGCCAGGCUAUGGCCGCGGGCACGGUGUGCCCUCACCAUUGUCACCGGCUCGAUGGCGCAGUACAUUCCGAUUCUCCGGAGCUACUGCGGUGGCCGGUUGCCGAUUGUCUCACCCUGUUAUGCGUCUACUGAGUGCGCCGCCGGAGUCAAUCUAAGGCCUCUCGACCCACCCAGCCGUGCGUCGUAUGCAUUGCUUCCCAACAUCGCCUACUUCGAGUUUGCCGAGAUCCAGCCUCGUGAUGAAGAAACUCCUACUGUUGAUGACAAUGGCAAUCCGGGUGAGAUGAAGUUUGUGGAUCUUGUGGAUGUCGAAAUUGGUCGGUCCUAUGAGCUGGUUGUCACCACCUUUGCAGGUCUUUACAGGUACCGAGUUGGUGACCUUCUCACCGUGACUGGCUUCUACAACGCAACGCCAUUGUUCCUCUUCUCGGGACGACAUGAUGUCAUCUUAAGCAUAGACCAUGAGAAGAUAAGCGAGGAGGAACUACUCAGGGCAAUUUCACAGGCUAUUGAGCUCCAUCUUGGCCCUCUUGGGUACAUGCUCAGUGGAAGCACCGCCUUUGCAGACAUAUCCAAGUUGCCAGGCCACUACGUCCUGUUCUGGGAGCUAACCAACGCAAGGAGUAAUGGCCUGGUUGGCGACAUCCCUGAUCAAACUGUCAUGGAGAAUUGUUGCUCGACAGUUGAAGAAUGCUUCGACCAAAUGUACUGCAAAAUCAGGCAGCGCGCGAACAUCACCGCGCUCGAGAUAAGGGUGCUUGAGCAGGGCGCGUACGACGCUCUGAUGGACUUCUUCGUGUCUAGAGGCGCAUCGGCGGGCCAGUAUAAGACUCCAACGGCUAUUCGGUCAAAAGAAGCGAUGAUGGUGUUGGAAGAGAGGGUGGUGGCAAGGUUCUUUAGCAAAGAAUUCCCCGUGGUUCUCUAUAUGAUGAUUACAUGA